CUGUUUCGCUAUGUGGAUGGGUUCAGUGAAGUUAGAUGGAUUGGGUCGCGUGAAGGUUGGAAACGACUUGGGCGAUCACGUGAUCUUCGCCAGGCCAUGUGACUCGAAAAUAUAUUUUUCUUACAAAAUGUCGCAAUUUAUUUGGAAAAAUAAUUGCAAUGCAAAUUAUAUUAAUAAAAUAAUAAAAUUUUUCAUUACCAUCAGCAAUCUUGAAAUCACGUAAAAUUCCAAUAAUUUUUGUUAUCGCGCGACACGUGCUCCUGGAAAAUGGAUUCCAUUAAGUCCGAGAAGGAUCUGUAUUCGUUUUUUAACCCACCUGAGAGAGAAGUAUUUCGUGACUUUCAAGAUAAUGGGUUUUUGCAUCGUACUAUGCCAACACCCACUAUAGAGAAAGCCUACCAACCUUAAAAUGA
rnacentral:lncRNA from 1 species